UACGAAGGGGGCUAGCGUUGCUCGGAAUGACUGGGCGUAAAGGGCGCGUAGGCGGAUGGCACAGUCAGAUGUGAAAUUCCCGGGCUUAACCUGGGGGCUGCAUUUGAUACGUGUUGUCUAGAGUGAGGAAGAGGGUUGUGGAAUUCCCAGUGUAGAGGUGAAAUUCGUAGAUAUUGGGAAGAUCACCGGUGGCGAAGGCGGCAACCUGGUCCUUGACUGACGCUGAGGCGCGAAAGCGUGGGGAGCAAACAGG
rnacentral:rRNA from 1 species